AAAUACCAUCCAUAGACUUGAAAUUCAAGUGGAUAUCUCAACUAGCUGCUGCCACAAAUCAACCCUCCUACUAAGCUCAUUAAAGCCAUAAACAGUAGUGCAGCAGAAAACAGUACCAGAAGCUCUUUGGGUAACCUUCACAUGAAUCAGUUGCACCUCAAUCCUGAGAACAGUUACUUGAAAAAUCCCAGGCAACCACAUCAACCAAAUCCUACCUCUAUCAUUCUUCCCAUAAUGAGCCACUACUGACCAAUCCCUACCAAAACUGCUAAACACCUCACCAAACUUCUUACUCUUAUCUUUAGUUUCCAAGAGACUAAAUAAACCCAAGGUAUAAUGUCUAAGGAACCAAGACACAUCACACCUUUUACUGAGCUUAUUCAAUCCCCUAAUUUUCCAGAAACCAAUAUUAUCCAUUCAGUACAAAAGAACACUCCCCCUCCUCCAUACCUCUAUAUAACACCUGACCUUCAUUGAUACAACACAGCCUUCCACUUCUGUUCCUGUUUUUAUCAAUCUGCUGUCCUAUGUCAUUAUUUUGUUCAAGCUCUGAAUUAAGGCACUCAAACCUGUUACCAGUAUAAACAUUAACCUGAAUACCCUCACCCUCCUCCUUCUGUUUCACCCCUUCUCUUCACAGGCUGCCACACCUUAGUCACCCUAUGUUUGUUCUACUUAUCCUUCCCUGCCAUAUCUCUUUUGUUAACCCAAUGAUUUGGGCAUUUUGCACUCUCAUGACCAAGACCACCGCAAGUCUUGCAUUGAACAAGCUUCCAUUCAUAGCACUUUUUGAGAUAUUACAUUCCCCUUUUCAUCUUCAAAUUCAAUUACCUCAGGGAAUUCACCAUCUAUGGAUACACUGACCAUCAAUCUAGCAUAUUCAACCAUAUCCUUAUGUUGAAUGUGUUCUGUUUGAGUAGGAUCUACUAGGAAUUCAUGAUGUUGUUUCAAGUGCUUGGCCUGGGCAGAUGAAGAACCCGAAAUAGCUAGUGGGAAAUUUAGCAAGAGUGCUUAUAACCAGUGUAAUGCUAACAAUAUCACCUGCAUUUUGAUAAGGUUCCACUGUGACUACGCUAGUGGGCCCCAGAUUGAGCAGCAGAAGCCACUUGAAUUCCAUCAAGACAUAAGUGCGGAACCCGUUAAACUGCUUUCUGUACAAACAUCCAAUUUAACAAUUUUAAAUUCAUUCUAGAGGAACCUUGAAACAAAAACAAAAGAAAAAGCUUUGGUGUUGGGUAAUGAGAGGAAUAGAAAGUAACAAAGAAAGAGAAUGAGGAGAGAGAGAAGAGUCAUGGAGAUGUGAAGCAAGUGAAUGGCAAUGAGGAAAAUUUGGAAAAGAGGUAUUAAAUUUCAGCAACAAUGGUUUGAAUUCGAAUCGAGGAGCGACUGCUUCGAACUUUAAUUGCUUUUGGGCCGAUUAAUUAAGGCUUUAUGUGGGCCGCUGCUUGUGUUAAUCGCUUCUGGUGGCUGGUUGUUUGCGAUGGAGGCGUGGAUGGAAGCAAGUUGUUGGUGGUUAUAAGGUGAUGGUGGUGCAAUUGGGCAUCACUUUAAGGGAGUUAGGGCUGCUGGUGUGAGUUGUUGUCAUUGGUUUGUGGGUGGUGACGUGGUUGAGAAUUGGGUGUAGUUGAUUGUUGCGAUUUUGGGUGUGUGAGGGAAGUUAGAGUUUAGGCGGCUGAUUGGCUGAUGCGCGGUGGCUCGAUUGAGAGUUGGGGUAGCAAGGGGGAAGCGUGGUAAGUCACCAAAUGCGAGCUUGAGGAUGAAUUUCGAGAUUAUGGUGUUCUUUGCAAUUAUGAAGUUAUAAAAUCAAUUUUGGUGGUAGAAUUGUUAGUUCCAUGGUUCAUUGCUAGAUUUUGGCAAGAGUAAUUUUCUUGUCUACUCUUUUUUUUUUUUUUUUUUUUUGGGCAUAUUUUUUCUAUGUGAUUUGAUAUUUUACAGAUUUAGAUAGUAGAUAUUAGAUAUGAACUACUCUUUAUCUUUUUCUAUAUAUUUUAAAGAUUUCAUUUUCUUUCGGGUAUUAUGAAUCAUAACUUUUUUACAUCUUUAAUUGUUUUUCAAAAACUUCUAAAAUAGAGAACUGAGGUGUAUAUGAAGAACGUCUCUUCAAUAUAUUUCUUGAUUAUUUAUGUUGGCAGGAGUAGUUUUCUUGUUAACUUUGUUUUUUGUGCAUAUUUUUUCUAUGUGAUACGAUAUUUUACAAAUUUAGAUAGUAGAUAGUAGAUUCGAAAUACUCUUGUAUCUUUUUUUUUUUUUUUUUUUUUUUUUUUUUGGAGGGAAGUACUCUGUAUCUUUUUCUAUAUAUUUUACAGAUUUCAUUUUUUAUGGGUAUUAUGAAUCAUAAUUUUUUUACAUCUUUAAUUGCUUUUCAAUGCCUUCUAAAAUAGAGAACUGAGGUUUAUACAAAGAAUGUUUCUUCAAUAUAUUUCUUGACUGUUACAGAUAAAAAAAUUUAUUCUCCUUGGGGAUAUUUAUAAAAGCAUAUAUUUUCUCAACUGGAAGAAACAAGGUUCUCAACUUAGCUUGUUAGCAAAAGAUUUUGGGUCAUUUGAUUGUUUUUCAACCGAGUUCCCGAUCGAUGGAAGUACACUAAGCCUUGUAGUUACAGAUGAACAGAAAAAUGUUCAGGUUAGCACUUUCCUAUGGUUUUUUAAAAUUUAUGUAGCAGUUGGAAUGGAAAUAGAGACAGAAGUGGAACAGUGGAAGAAUGUAGCAGCGCCAGACUAACUUGAUGGGGAAUAAAUGAAUAAUAAUGAGAUGGUAACCUAUAGGUGGUUUUUUUUUUUUAAUCUAAUAUUAUAUACAAGUUUGUCCAUGGCCGCCUUCUAUGUUAGUUAUGAAAAGGAACAAAUUUAUCAUAUAGUAUUUUUUUUUCUUCAACAAUGUCUUUCACUUAGGCAAAGCAAUUGAUUAGUUGAAAUGGGUUUGUACAUUUCUAUAUUGUGAAAAUAUGAUUGGUUCUUUGCACUUAAUCUGCUGUCUUAUGGUCUACAGUCUCAUAAUGACUUAAUGUGCAGUGGUUUGUGUAAUGGAUUCAUGCUUAAUUUUAUUUUAUUUUAUUUUUUUUAGCAAGGGCUAUUUUAGGAGGGGCCUAUGGCUUGAAUUUUGAAAAUCUUUCCUUAAAAGUAAAAAGGAUCUUGACAAUUCAAAAGAAUAAGGCAAGGGCUAGGACAGGCCAUGGGAGUUUUUGAGGAACCGCCCUCAAUCCAUCAUCAUCAACAACAAUAAUCAUAGUACUGGCUUGUGAAUUACUGAUAAUUAGAUGGUGCCGGUUGUGAUAAUUUGAGGCAAUUAUAUUAUACAACAAUGAGCUCAUGUCACUGUCUUAUGCAUAAUUAACUAAGGGAUAUAUGCAUGAUUAACUAAGGGAUAAAACAAAGGUCUAGUUGACCCUACUAUUUGUACAACUAUUGGUAUUGUAGCCUUUGGGGGAGCAUGUCUCAAUGAGGGUUAAGUAGCUACAAAUUGAUUAGUGUCACCUGACUUAUAACUAAUAUAUAGUUCUAAUAAUUCUUCUUGCGUUAAGAUAGUACAUACAAAACCAAUGCUCUGAUAAAUCUGUUACAAUCUGAUUUCAAGCUGCUAUUAAACUGUGGUUUUUUAAAACUUUGUUUGAAUUAAGUUGUACCCUCAAUUAGUUUUCAUGCAUUGCACGAGUUCUAGACCAGUAACACUUUGAAAUUACAAUUUCUGAAUAUGGGUUGUAUAAUGUUGAUUUAGUGUUCAUGCAUUGCAUGAGUUCCAAACUAGUAACACCUUGAAAGCACAAUUUUAUUCAUGAUUUUUUUAACAAAAAAAAAAAAAUACAUUUUAAUAGACUUUAUUGUUUUACAUUCGGCGUUACAUAUUGUGAUACAGAAAAAUAAUCCUAAUUUAAAGUCUUGUAUGUGAUUUUAUGUUUAUGGAGUAAAGAUUAUACGCACGGGAUGAAUGCUAUAUCUUUCAACAAACAUGUACAACAUCCUUUUUAAAGGAGUACACAAAUAGUUAGGGUGAUUAAGAUAAUCUGUAUUGUUUCAAAAAAAAAAAAAAAAAAUAAAAAAAAGAUAAUUAGCAUGAAAAGUCUAAUCUUGAUAAAACAAUUUAGAUUAUACCAUUGACCAUCUUUUUUUUCGUUUCUUCAUUUGGUCUACAUUUUUAGUAAAAUUCAUCAAAUCUUUAUACUCAUGCACUUAAUGUUUUCCAUU